CACGGACUUCGGUCUGGUGGCGAGUGGCGAACGGGUGAGUAACAUAUCGGAACGUAUCCAAUAAUGGGGGAUAACUAAUCGAAAGGUUGGCUAAUACCGCAUACGCCCUACGGGGGAAAGCAGGGGAUCUUCGGACCUUGCGUUAAUGGAGCGGCUGAUAUCUGAUUAGCUAGUUGGUGAGGUAAAGGCUCACCAAGGCGACGAUCAGUAGCUGGUCUGAGAGGACGACCAGCCACACUGGAACUGAGACACGGUCCAGACUCCUACGGGAGGCAGCAGUGGGGAAUUUUGGACAAUGGGCGCAAGCCUGAUCCAGCCAUUCCGCGUGAGUGGAGAAGGCCUUCGGGUUGUAAAGCUCUUUCGCAAGGGAAGAAAACUUACUUUCUAAUAAAGAGUGAGGUUGACGGUACCUUGAUAAGAAGCACCGGCUAACUACGUGCCAGCAGCCGCGGUAAUACGUAGGGUGCGAGCGUUAAUCGGAAUUACUGGGCGUAAAGCGUGCGCAGGCGGCCUUAAAAGUCAGAUGUGAAAUCCCCGAGCUCAACUUGGGAACUGCGUUUGAAACUCUAAGGCUAGAAUAUGUCAGAGGGGGGUAGAAUUCCACGUGUAGCAGUGAAAUGCGUAGAGAUGUGGAGGAAUACCAAUGGCGAAGGCAGCCCCCUGGGAUAAUAUUGACGCUCAUGCACGAAAGCGUGGGGAGCAAACAGGAUUAGAUACCCUGGUAGUCCACGCCCUAAACGAUGUCUACUAGUUGUUGGUGGAGUAAAAUCCAUGAGUAACGCAGCUAACGCGUGAAGUAGACCGCCUGGGGGAGUACGGUCGCAAGAUUAAAACUCAAAUGAAUUGACGGGGGCCCGCACAAGCGGUGGAUUAUGUGGAUUAAUUCGAUGCAACGCGAAAAACCUUACCUGUCUUGACAUGUA
rnacentral:rRNA from 1 species